ACACUCCUACGGGAGGCAGCAGUGGGGAAUAUUGGACAAUGGGCGCAAGCCUGAUCCAGCCAUGCCGCGUGAGUGAUGAAGGCCCUAGGGUUGUAAAGCUCUUUCACCGGUGAAGAUAAUGACGGUAACCGGAGAAGAAGCCCCGGCUAACUUCGUGCCAGCAGCCGCGGUAAUACGAAGGGGGCUAGCGUUGUUCGGAUUUACUGGGCGUAAAGCGCACGUAGGCGGACUAUUAAGUCAGGGGUGAAAUCCCGGGGCUCAACCCCGGAACUGCCUUUGAUACUGGUAGUCUUGAGUUCGAGAGAGGUGAGUGGAAUUCCGAGUGCAGAGGUGAAAUUCGUAGAUAUUCGGAGGAACACCAGUGGCGAAGGCGGCUCACUGGCUCGAUACUGACGCUGAGGUGCGAAAGCGUGGGGAGCAAACAGGAUUAGAUACCCGUGUAGUCC
rnacentral:rRNA from 1 species